rnacentral:rRNA from 1 species
GUCUAUGGCCAUGCCAUCCUGAACAAGCCUGAUCCUGUCUGAUCUUGGAAGCUAAGCAGGGUCGGGCCUGGUUAGUACUUGGAUGGGAGAUGACCUAGGAAGACCAGGUGUAAAAAAAA